rnacentral:rRNA from 1 species
UACGGGGGGGGCAAGCGUUGUUCGGAAUUACUGGGCAUAAAGGGCUCGUAGGCGGCCAACUAAGUCGGAUGUGAAAUCCCCAGGCUCAACCUGGGAACUGCAUCCGAUACUGGAUGGCUUGAAUUCGGGAGAGGGAUGCAGAAUUCCAGGUGUAGCGGUGAAAUGCGUAGAUAUCUGGAGGAAUACCGGUGGCGAAGGCGGCAUCCUGGACCGACAUUGACGCUGAGGAGCGAAAGCUAGGGGGAGCAAACGGGG